ensembl:snRNA U6 U6 spliceosomal RNA
AUGUUUGUUCCUACUGCCUGUAUAGAAAAUUUGGAAUAAUACAGAGAUAGUGCAUGGCCUCUGAACAACAAUGACACACAGAUAAGUGAAGUCUUCCUUAUAUAU